AAUAAGCUAAUUAAGAGCGUAAGGUGGAUGCCUUGGCUCUCAGAGGCGAUGAAGGACGUGAUAAGCUGCGAUAAGCUACGGGGAUUGGCACACACAAUUUGAUCCGUAGAUUUCCGAAUGGGGAAACCCACUAUAUUGAAGAUAUAGUAUCCGUUAAGGAAGCAAACCCAGGGAACUGAAACAUCUAAGUACCUGGAGGAAUAGAAAACAAAAGUGAUUCCGCUAGUAGUGGCGAGCGAACGCGGAUCAGCCCAAACCAAAAUUGUUUCGGCAAUUUUGGGGUUGUAGGACCACGACAUUGAAUG
rnacentral:rRNA from 1 species